UCGGGAAUAUUGGACAAUGGGGGAAACCCUGAUCCAGCAAUACCGCGUGUGUGAAGAAGGCCUGCGGGUUGUAAAGCACUUUCGCUAGGGACGAUAAUGACGGUACCUAGAUAAGAAGCACCGGCUAACUCCGUGCCAGCAGCCGCGGUAAUACGGAGGGUGCAAGCGUUAAUCGGAAUUACUGGGCGUAAAGCGCACGUAGGCGGUUAUUUAAGUCAGAUGUGAAAGCCCCGGGCUCAACCUGGGAACUGCAUCUGAUACUGGGUAACUAGAAUGUGGGAGAGGGAAGUGGAAUUUCCGGUGUAGCGGUGAAAUGCAUAGAGAUCGGAAGGAACAUCAGUGGCGAAGGCGACUUCCUGGACCAACAUUGACGCUGAGGUGCGAAAGCGUGGGUAGCAAACA
rnacentral:rRNA from 1 species